rnacentral:rRNA from 1 species
GACGAACGCUGGCGGCGUGCCUAAUACAUGCAAGUAGAACGCUGAAGGAGGAGCUUGCUUCUCUGGAUGAGUUGCGAACGGGUGAGUAACGCGUAGGUAACCUGCCUGGUAGCGGGGGAUAACUAUUGGAAACGAUAGCUAAUACCGCAUAAGAGUAGAUGUUGCAUGACAUUUGCUUAAAAGGUGCAAUUGCAUCACUACCAGAUGGACCUGCGUUGUAUUAGCUAGUUGGUGAGGUAACGGCUCACCAAGGCGACGAUACAUAGCCGACCUGAGAGGGUGAUCGGCCACACUGGGACUGAGACACGGCCCAGACUCCUACGGGAGGCAGCAGUAGGGAAUCUUCGGAAAUGGACGGAAGUCUGACCGAGCAACGCCGCGUGAGUGAAGAAGGUUUUCGGAUCGUAAAGCUCGGUUGUAAGAGAAGAACGAGUGUGAGAGUGGAAAGUUCACACUGUGACGGUAUCUUACCAGAAAGGGACGGCUAACUACGUG